UACGGGGGGGGCAAGCGUUGUUCGGAAUUACUGGGCGUAAAGGGCGCGCAGGCGGCUUGGCAAGUCGGGUGUGAAAUCCCUUGGCUUAACUAAGGAAUGGCGCUCGAAACUACCUCGCUAGAGGACGGGAGAGGGAAGUGGAACUCUCGGUGUAGGGGUGAAAUCUGUAGAUAUCGAGAGGAACACCGGUGGCGAAGGCGGCUUCCUGGCCCGUAACUGACGCUGAGGCGCGAAAGCGUGGGGAGCAAACAGG
rnacentral:rRNA from 1 species